GGGCCUAUGGUCUAGCGGUUAUGACAUCACCUUCACAGGGUGAAGAUCCCCGGUUCGAUUCCGGGUGGGCCCA
rfam:Candidatus Woesearchaeota archaeon CG1_02_33_12 cg1_0.2_scaffold_4664_c, whole genome shotgun sequence.